CAAUGACACGUAGUUAGAAUGUUACAGCUUGUGAAGUCUGUAGCUAAAUCUCAGGAACAGAAAUGUUGAGAAGGGUAGACUGAUGACUACCCCUCAGUGGAAACAGACCAGAUCUCAGCUUAUCUGGCUGGAAGGAAAGCAAAAAAAACAAAGCAAAACAAACCAAAAAGUCCUAAGAAACAAAAGGCAGAUUCAAGCCAAUCUGUGAUUUGUAAAAUAAGCAAGGUGCAGGCUUGUGUGCCUUCAGCUGAAUGUAAGAAGUCCAGCUAUCAUGAGGCCACCAUGUGGACAGACAACUCAGAGGAAUGAGAGAGAGACCUGAGCAGCUAGCAGUGCCAGCACCUAGAUGUUUGAAUCUUCCCAGCCCAGAUAUAUGAUGGAAAAAACUUCAAGAUGCCCAUUCGACAACAACCACAUGAAAGACGCGGAGUGAGAACUCCUAAGCUGAGAUCCCACUCUCUCAGACUCCAGAGCCAAAUAAAUAAUCAUUAAUGUUUUAAGCCACUGUUUUGGUGUGGCAACAAUAAAGGCCUGGAACAGGGUGUUACAGGAAGGUUUCUUUGAGGAUAUGAGGCUUAUGUUGAAGACCUCAGUAUCAUGAAGGAGCCAGGGGAGAGAGCACAUUCUGGGCAAAGGAAACGGUGGGAAGAUCCUAAGUCAGAAAUGGGUUUAGCAAGUUCAAGGACGGAAAGCAGGCCAGUGAAGUUGAAAUGCAACCCAAUAAGAGUGGUAGGACAUGAGUGCAGGCAUGUAGUAGAACUUCAGUUUGCAGGGAAGGGUGUGCACUCACCCAAGUAAUACCCUACAGUAAUGCUGAGCAUGGCCAUGUGCACCUUCCAGGUUUAACAUUGGAACCCUGGUAGAGCUUGAAUUCAUUUUCUCUCCUGUCCCAGUGUCAUAUAAAAAGUGCUAACAAAACUUUCCCAAACCUCAUCUAAUAACACUGAAGUCCAAGAGAAAGAGAGGGGUGGGUGUUCAGGCACUGCAGUUCUCCCCAUAUAGCAGAGGAUUUAACACCUUCUUGUUUAAAUUAAAAAAAAAAUCUCCUUGCGCACAAAUAAUUAAAAACAAUAUUAAUACUAUAUGGAUAUGUUUCAAGGACUGCAAGCAUGCAUAAGAAGGCCUUUGAACUGUCAGAUCACCUGGUCUUAAAUAGUCAUUUUGCAGUUUCUACCUUCUUUAAACUGGUAGACCAUUUUGUGGCUAAUAUGGAAAUCUAAGAAAUGCAAAUAUUAAUACUACCAGAAAGUGAAGGGAAGCAGUCUGAAUUUGCAUUUUGUGGCAGUUACAAAUGUCCUUUAACUUGUAAACAAAGGUCUCUCUGAUUGAGGAGUGCCAGUGAAUGACAUCUAGAAGGGCUGCUCCCAGUACAAGCAGGCAGAGGUUGCUUUCCACAAACUGGACAGAGAAGGAAUGGAAGUGAGCAAGAUUAUUUGAUACGUUAUUUAAGCAUCCAGAAAAGGCCAGGACACAAGAAUGAAGAGUUAGAGUCCUGUUACACUUUGCAAACAAAUAGAAGAGGGCAUAGCAUGUCCCUGGAAUCUCCAAGCCCUUUGCAGAUGCUAACUGCCAACUCUUCAUCCCAACACUGAGUAGCAAGGCUCUUUGGAUGUAAGUGGCCCAAACUCAAAUGAAAUUGGCUUAAGCAAAAAAGGGGGCCUCAUGAAUUCACAGACUCAAACUGCAGAAUGUGUAGAGUGGAGCUGAGCUUGGAGAAGCUGGGAUCCAGGAGCUCCGUCACCAGAUACUGGGCCACAUGGUGACUUGGAUUUUUAAGGGUUACACACAUGAAGCAAUUACAAUCCAGAGGAAUUCGUGACUAUCCUCAGAGGCCACAGCCAUUGAUGCCUCUUUCACUCUGCCCAUUAUGUCCCACUGAACAACUUGGGUGUCAUAGCCAGCCAUUUUGCUCUGUGAGGAAGUAAUUUUGCAGUUGAAUUGGACCUGGUUGCAUUUUCUGGUCUCUACUUUCUCCAAAUAUCCCAGUACUUAGUUUUUGCUCUGGUUGAAAAAAAAAAAAAACUACACUAAUGGAUUAAACAGCCAUUUGGAAAAGACAAGUAAUUAGUCCAAGUAAUUUUGGAAAGGAUCAUUCAAAUUAACGUACGUGAAGCACCUAACAUAACAGACCAUUGGUAAAUGGUAGCAAAGAAGAUUAUGAUCAUUAGGAACUCCUGAGAGAGGGCACGUGCCACACGAAGGGAUUGGACCAGAUCAACAUUUCAGUGUCUUCUGAGGAUUAUAAUUUCUGGAAGUUGCUCCCAGAUGGGGGAAAACUUUCAUCCUACGGUCAAAUAAACAUUGCUUAGAAACUCUCAA